rnacentral:rRNA from 1 species
AAUAGAUACCCUGGUAGUCCACGCCGUAAACGAUGUCGACUUGGAGGUUGUUCCCUUGAGGAGUGGCUUCCGGAGCUAACGCGUUAAGUCGACCGCCUGGGGAGUACGGCCGCAAGGUUAAAACUCAAAUGAAUUGACGGGGGCCCGCACAAGCGGUGGAGCAUGUGGUUUAAUUCGAUGCAACGCGAAGAACCUUACCUACUCUUGACAUCCAGAGAACUUUCCAGAGAUGCUUUGGUGCCUUCGGGAACUCUGAGACAGGUGCUGCAUGGCUGUCGUCAGCUCGUGUUGUGAAAUGUUGGGUUAAGUCCCGCAACGAGCGCAACCCUUAUCCUUUGUUGCCAGCGGUUAGGCCGGGAACUCAAAGGAGACUGCCAGUGAUAAACUGGAGGAAGGUGGGGAUGACGUCAAGUCAUCAUGGCCCUUACGAGUAGGGCUACACACGUGCUACAAUGGCGCAUACAAAGAGAAGCGACCUCGCGAGAGCAAGCGGACCUCAUAAAGUGCGUCGUAGUCCGGAUUGGAGUCUGCAACG